rnacentral:lncRNA from 1 species
CAUGACAUCACUCUGUAUUCGGCUUUUCAUGACAUCACUCUGUAUUCAGCUUUUCAUGACAUCACUCUGUAUUCAGCUUCUCAUGACAUCACUCUGUAUUCAGCUUUUCAUGACAUCACUCUGUAUUCAGCUUUUCAUGACAUCACUCUGUAUUCAGCUUCUCAUGACAUCACUCUGUAUUCAGCUUUUCAUGACAUCACUCUGUAUUCAGCUUCUCAUGACAUCACUCUGUAUUCAGCUUUUCAUGACAUCACUCUGUAUUCAGCUUUUCAUGACAUCACUCUGUAUUCAGCUUUUCAUGACAUCACUCUGUAUUCAGCUUUUCAUGACAUCACUCUGUAUUCAGCUUUUCAUGACAUCACUCUGUAUUCAGCUUCUCAUGACAUCACUCUGCAUUCAGCUUUUCAUGACAUCACUCUGCAUUCAGCUUUUCAUGACAUCACUCUGUAUUCAGCUUCUCAUGACAUCACUCUGCAUUCAGCUUCUCAUGACAUCACUCUGUAUUCAGCUUUUCAUGACAUCACUCUGUAUUCAGCUUUUCAUGACAUCACUCUGUAUUCAGCUUCUCAUGACAUCACUCUGCAUUCAGCUUUUCAUGACAUCACUCUGUAUUCAGCUUUUCAUGACAUCACUCUGUAUUCAGCUUUUCAUGACAUCACUCUGUAUUCAGCUUCUCAUGACAUCACUCUGCAUUCAGCUUCUCAUGACAUCACUCUGUAUUCAGCUUUUCAUGACAUCACUCUGUAUUCAGCUUCUCAUGACAUCACUCUGCAUUCAGCUUUUCAUGACAUCACUCUGUAUUCAGCUUUUCAUGACAUCACUCUGCAUUCAGCUUCUCAUGACAUCACUCUGCAUUCAGCUUCUCAUGACAUCACUCUGCAUUCAGCUUCUCAUGACAUCACUCUGUAUUCAGCUUUUUUUGCCCCAGAGGCAACAAAACAUCACAUUUAAGAACAUUUUAAAGAUUUUUCAGAUUGCUACUCAAAUAUCUACAUGUGGUAGGUGCUAAAGUGACCCAUAGUUGAAUUACUGGUUGGGUUAUUUUUAACCCAUUUGUUUAUUGUGAGUACUUUCAACUUCCAACUACCUACAUACACAUGGUAUUGUAGGUACUAUAGUGGCAAAUGGUUGGGUCACUGGUUGUGUUAUUUUGAACCCAUUUGUUUAUUGUGAGUACCAUCAACUUCCGACAGGGAUGCUUUCUUUAUGGGGGCUCAUGGUCAAAAUGACCUAGCUGUACAGGUGAAGAUUGGCACAGAUCCAACUCCUUCUCCACAACCCCUCCCAUCCUCGGUCCCUUCUCCACACAUCUGAUUCAUUCCUCCUGUGCACCUCCCCUUGGCCAGGUAAACCAUAUAAAUAUUCAAUCCUCAGUUAGCUACCCAGGGAGCUCUUGGUUUCCAUCGAGACGUGGAGGAAGAGGGAGAGAGGCAGGUGUAGAUGUGCAACAGGUGGAGUUUCUCAGGAUAAGGAGGAAAUAAAUGAUCUUCACAAAACCACUGGG